rnacentral:lncRNA from 1 species
AAAUAAAAGAACACAUCAAAAUUAAAAAGUACAACCAAGGAGAGCCUGAUUCAGGCUUCAUGUCUGCGAUAUGAGGUAAACCAACUCCAAAGAUCAUGAUCCAAUUCCUUUCUCCCAUCUGAGUGUGUCACAGUUCCCUAAGAGUCUCAAAUGACCUCCAAGAAGUGCUCACACCCCAAUAUAUCACCAGAUUAAGACAUAGUGCAGUGUGGAAAGGGUCAGACCUCAAGUUUCCAAGUUCAGAGGGAACUCAAGGUCCAAAGGCAAGGCUCACAAGAGGGGGUGCAGAACAUAAAACUAGGAGAGAGUGUAAGUACAGGAAUAGAAUUCUGAUAAGGAAAGGGGAAGGGAAGCAGUUACAAAAUAGUACACAUAGGGGUUCAGGGAGAAGGGAAAUUGAAAGAGGCAAAGCAUGCUAUGGGCAUACCCAGAAAUGGAGGGUGCUAGUAUACCCUCUAAACCUGCUAGAACACAC